GAAAAAUCGCCUGGUGCGAAAGGUCUAUUAAUGGGAUACUUUUCAAAGAAAAUCCUGAAGCAUAAUAAGUUUUUCGCUUCCGAUACAAGAACUUUUUUCGAUACCUACUUGGAUCGUAGCAAAAAGUAUCGAGUACAAAAAUACUUAAUAAAUUGAGAAAAGUGCCUAGUAUGUACUUGGAUUUACUUGUAUCGAUUUAUCCCUGCAUACCUAUAUAUCCCUAGACAAAGGUGGAAAUUUAUUUAUACAUAAUUGAAAAAGCAUUCCAAUCAUUAGACGAAUUCAAUUUAGAAAUAUGACUAUUUUAACUAAACCGUCAAAUGAAAAAACAGCAGAAAAGCUUGCUCUACCGUUGAAUUUAGGUAGACACGAUGAUACAUCAUUGAAUGGAGGCGUAGCAGACUCGACUCUUUUGAGCGCAUAUUAACAACCUAACAAUUAGGCAGAUUGUGACGUUUCGUGCUACCAUACCCAUGUAAAUAUACCAUGAUUUAAUUAUUGGAGCAAGUAACACGGCGUACACAUAUGAUGGAUGAGACAAUUUUUCCAAGACAAUGGGAAAAUUUGAGUAUGCGGACGGCAAAUUCUAGAAAAAGUUGGGUUGAGGGGACUCCCUGAUUUCAAAAAUACCCCUUUUUUUAGCAACCCUAUAGUUUUUAUAUAAUUUAUUGUUAAAGUUUUCAUAUAAACGAUGAAUAAGAUAGCAAAAUAACAUAAAACUUGGUGCUGCCAGACUGAAAUUUUGAA